CAAAAAAAAAUCUCUAGGUUUCCGUGUCCAACGUUUGACCGUCCGUCUUAUUUAAAAAAAUAUAAAAAAAUUAAAAAAGACAAGUCACGCAUAAAUUAUUAAUCAUGUUUUAUCAUCUAACAAUAAUGAAAAUACUAAUUAUAAAAAAAUUUCAUAUAAGACGAGAGUUAAACAUUGGACACGGAAACCUAGGGUUUGUCUUUUU
rfam:Oryza glumipatula chromosome 4, whole genome shotgun sequence.